GACGAACGCUGGCGGCGUGCUUAACACAUGCAAGUCGAACGCUUAAGCCCAGCUUGCUGGGUGGAUGAGUGGCGAACGGGUGAGUAACACGUGAGUAACCUGCCCCUGACUCUGGGAUAAGCCCGGGAAACUGGGUCUAAUACCGGAUAUGACGCGUGACCGCAUGGUCUGCGCGUGGAAAGUUUUUUCGGUUGGGGAUGGACUCGCGGCCUAUCAGCUUGUUGGUGGGGUAAUGGCCUACCAAGGCGACGACGGGUAGCCGGCCUGAGAGGGCGACCGGUCACACUGGGACUGCGACCCGGCCGAGACACCUACGGGAGGCAGCAGUGGGGGAUAGUGCACAAUGGGCGAAAGCCUGAUGCAGCAAAGCAGCGUGAGCGAUGAAGGCCUUUGGGUCGUAAAGCUCUGUCCUUGGGGAAGAAACAAAUGACGGUACCCAAGGAGGAUGCCCCGGCUAACUACGUGCAAGACGCCGCCGUAACCC
rnacentral:rRNA from 1 species